GCCCCCGUAGCUCAGUUGGAUAGAGCGCGGCUUUCCUAAAGCCGAGGUCGCAAGUUCGAUCCUUGCCGGGGGUA
rnacentral:tRNA from 2 species